rnacentral:rRNA from 1 species
UACGUAGGGGCAAGCGUUGUCCGGAAUCAUUGGGCGUAAAGAGCGUGUAGGCGGCUCAAAAAGUCUGGUGUGAAAUCCUGCGGCUCAACCGCAGACGGUCACUGGAUACUCUUGAGCUUGAGUCCGGAAGAGGAGAGUGGAAUCCUGGUGUAGCGGUGGAAUGCGCAGAGUAUCAGGAGGAACAUCAAUGGCGAAGGCAGGCUCUCUGGUACGUGACUGACGCUGAGACGCGAAAGCGUGGGGAGCAAACAGG